UACGGAGGGAGCUAGCGUUGUUCGGAAUUACUGGGCGUAAAGCGCACGUAGGCGGCUUUGUAAGUUAGAGGUGAAAGCCCGGGGCUCAACCCCGGAAUUGCCUUUAAGACUGCAUCGCUUGAAUCCAGGAGAGGUGAGUGGAAUUCCGAGUGUAGAGGUGAAAUUCGUAGAUAUUCGGAAGAACACCAGUGGCGAAGGGCGGCUCACUGGACUGGUAUUGACGCUGAGGUGGCGAAAGCGUGGGGAGCAAACACGG
rnacentral:rRNA from 1 species